AUUAACGCUGGCGGCAUGCCUUAUGCAUGCAAGUGGAUCGAGAAGCCGCAAGGCUUCGAGACGCGAACGGCUGAGUAAUGGAUAGGAAUCUCCCCAAUGGUGUGGAAUACCUCAUCGAAAGAUGAGCUAAUACCACAUGACCUCGAAAGAGAAAAGCGCUUAACUGCGCGCCGAUGGAUGAGCCUAUCUCCCAUCAGGCUGUUGGUAGGGUAAUGGCCUACCAAACCUAUGACGGGUACCCGCCCUGAGAGGGGAAACGGGCAGAAUGGGACUGAGACACGGCCCAUAUGUCUACGGACAGCAGCAACAGGGAAUCGUGCGCAAUGGAAGAAAGUCUGACGCCGCAAUGCCGCGUGGAGGAUGAAGGCCCUCGGGUCGUAAACUCCUUUUGCCAUAGAGGAGAUGCUAUGGAGAAUAAGUGACUGCUAACUCUGU
rnacentral:rRNA from 1 species